UUAAGUUCAGCGGGUAUCCCCACCUGAUCCGAGGCCAACCAUUGUGAGUAUUCGUUCGGGGCUGCCGCCGCCCGGGCGCCCAAGCGAGGGUUUUGCUACGCUUGAAGCCGGGAGGAGGCGCCUGCGAGUUUCGGACCGCCCGCGGGCGGGGUCCAUCACCAAGCUGGGCUUGAGGGUUGAAAUGGCGCUCGGAACAGGGU
rnacentral:misc_RNA from 1 species